rnacentral:rRNA from 1 species
UACGGGGGGAGCAAGCGUUGUUCGGAUUUACUGGGCGUAAAGGGCGCGUAGGCGGCCACUGCAAGUCGACUGUGAAAUCUCCGGGCUUAACCCGGAAAGGUCAGCCGAUACUGCAGGGCUAGAGUGCAGAAGGGGCAACUGGAAUUCUCGGUGUAGCGGUGAAAUGCGUAGAUAUCGAGAGGAACACCUGCGGCGAAGGCGGGUUGCUGGGCUGACACUGACGCUGAUGCGCGAAAGCUAGGGGAGCGAACGGG